GGCGGGGUGGGGCGGGGGCGGCCCAGGCCAGCACUCUGGACUCACAGUCGUGGCUGCCUCUUGCUCCGCCAGGGCCACCCGCCCAGGAGAAGCGGGAUUCUUCCGUGGAGCUGGCAAAGCGACCCUGGGAGAGGACCCUGUCUGGUACGAUCCCCACCACCACCACCGUUCAUCCGGUGCUGCCCAAUCCCCAGUACCACGUAUUUCUGCUGUGCUGGUAACCAAGUGAGAAAAUGAAGAUUUAAACCGGCUCAUUGUUCAAGGCCAGCCUGGACUACAUGGUGAGGCCCUGUCUCAAAAAAAAAGUUCCAGAGUCCAGAAGUUCAGAAUCGGUAUCAUCACUGCGCAGAAGUCAGAUAUCAUCAGGCUCCAGGGGAGAAUCGUUUCCUCACCUUGCCCCCACCGGGCUUCCGGGGUCUGCGGCGGUUCAUCACUCCAGACAUCAAAGCCAGCAUCUUCAAAUCACUCUGCUCUGCCUUCAUGUUGCCUUCGCCUCUGUGUCACACCUCACUCUGCUUCUCUCUGACAAGGACACUGUGAUGCUACUUAGAUCCCACCUGGGGAUCUAAUCCAAUGGCAAAAAAGAUUCACUUAUCUGCUAGCUGCCCUUCCAGGCCUUGUGGAAUAGGAUCUGGAAGCAGAAUAGCAGUGUGAGAGAGAAGAGCGCAGCAGGGCUGAGGCCUGGUGAGAGCGCUCAUCCAAGGGACUCAGCAGCCCUGCUGGGCUUUAGGGGUGUGGGAUGGACACUUAGGACACUCACUGGAUGCUGUUCUAGGAGAGGGGUCAGCAAAUACAGACCACAGAGUGGCUGCCUGGUUUUGUAAAUAAAAGUCUCACUGGAAGACAGAUGUGCUGUUUGCUUCCAGACUGUGUCUAUGGUUUCUUUUGAGCAGAGUUGAAUAAACGGAGUUGAGAAGCUGUAACUACUGAAACCAUGUGACCCACAAAUCCAAAAUAUCUACUGUCUCUCCUUCAAGGGAAAGUUUCCCUAACGCUGCACGAGGGAAGGAG
rnacentral:lncRNA from 1 species